rnacentral:rRNA from 1 species
UACAUGGGGUGCAAACGUUGCUCGGAAUUAUUGGGCGUAAAGCGCACGUAGGUGGUCAUUUAAGUCGGAUGUGAAAGCCCUCGGCUCAACUGAGGAAGUGCAUCCGAAACUGAAUGGCUAGAGUAUGGUAGAGGGUCGCGGAAUUCCCGGUGUAGAGGUGAAAUUCGUAGAUAUCGGGAGGAACACCAGUGGCGAAGGCGGCGACCUGGGCCAAUACUGACGCUGAGGUGCGAAAGCGUGGGGAGCGAUCCGG